rnacentral:rRNA from 1 species
GAUGAACGCUGGCGGCGUGCCUAAUACAUGCAAGUCGAGCGAACGGACGAGAAGCUUGCUUCUCUGAUGUUAGCGGCGGACGGGUGAGUAACACGUGGAUAACCUACCUAUAAGACUGGGAUAACUUCGGGAAACCGGAGCUAAUACCGGAUGAUAUUUUGAACCGCAUGGUUCAAAAGUGAAAGACGGUCUUGCUGUCACUUAUAGAUGGAUCCGCGCUGCAUUAGCUAGUUGGUAAGGUAACGGCUUACCAAGGCAACGAUGCAUAGCCGACCUGAGAGGGUGUUCCGCCACACUGGAACUGAGACGCGGUCCAGACUCCUACGGGAGGCAGCAGUAGGGAAUCUUCCGCAAUGGGCGAGAGCCUGACGGAGCAACGCCGCGUGAGUGAUGAAGGUCUUCGGAUCGUAAAACGCUGUUAUUAGGGAAGAACAGAUGUGUAAGUAACUGUGCACAUCUUGACGUUACCUAAUCAGAAAGCCACGGCUAACUACGUG